CCCACUAACGAGCGCAACCCCUACCUUUAGUUGCCAUCAGGUUAAGCUGGGGACGUCUAAAGGAACUGCCUACGCAAGUAGUGAGGAAGCGGGGAUGACGUCAAAUCAGCACGGCCCUUACGUCCAGGGCUACACACGUGCUACAAUGGCCGAUACAGAGGGCAGCUACCUGGUGACAGGAUGCAAAUCUCCAAAGUCGGUCUCAGUUCGGAUCGGAGUCUGCAACCCGACUCCGUGAAGUUGGAUUCGCUAGUAAUCGCGCAUCAGCCAUGGCGCGGUGAAUACGUUCCCGGGCCUU
rnacentral:rRNA from 1 species